rnacentral:lncRNA from 1 species
GGCGGGUCAAAUUCGGGUCAUGGGGGUACCAUUGAAGAACGGCGGAUCUGGUGAAUUAGCACGGCCAGGUCACUGGCAUUAAACUUCACUACCAUCAUUGCUUUGCAACCAGUCCUUGCAACAAGCCUCCUUCGAGCUUUGAGGCCAGGCUUAAUCCUAGCUAUGCCGCCUUUGUAACAAACAAAUGUAGCACGGUAUUUUCAUUUGUAGUGACACAGACACUUGAUAGAUAAGUUAUCGCAAGUAGAGGGCAGGGCUUGAUAAAAAAAUAAAUAAAAAUGCAUGAAUACUAGAGAAAUUCCAUGAUCAUGCUAUUUUUUGUACCAAAAACCUUACAUAUAUAUGGGAUAACACCACAAUGCCGGAUUGUUUUUGUAGAUCAAGACAAUACAAGCCUUUGAACUUUCAACUAGUAUGGUCAGGAAAGGAAGAGCAUUAUAAAUAGAAGAAAGUGAUGGGAAUGACAC